GCAUAUGUACAUGCUCUUUUGAAUGCCAUGUGCGAGCAAGGUGCUAACGAUACUCUCCUUUCAUUUUUCGCGUUCUUCCAUCCCGCACUCGAGAAGAUAAGGUGUAUGGUCUAUAGGUCACCCUUUCCUCCGCAAUGGAAGUUUCUCUCUGUGCAUUCCCCUCCUCGAAGGCACCUUCCUCUCAGCAGCUAACGCUGAACGGUUUCACAACAACAGUCUUUAAGCCCAAAACAGCUUUUCCGACAACCCACAGAACCUCUCAUUUCCCUUCAAUCCGCGCCGCUAUCAGCCGAACCAAGAAGGAAGAAACGGUGGAAAACGUUAAGAAACAGCUAGAGAACUGUUACCUUGUCGCUGGAAUCAAGUACAAGGGCUUCACAGUGAAGCAAUUUCAAGAGCUCAGGCGGAGUUUUCCGGAAUCCGUCAAGCUCGUCGUCGCCAAGAACACGCUUGUCGGCAAAGCUGUCGAAGGUACGCCGUGGGAGGCUCUGAAGCCUUGCAUGAAGGGCAUGAGUGCCUGGAUGUUUGUUCACACUGAGGAAAUUCCUGAAGCGCUGAAACCGUACAGAAGUUUCCAGAAAGAGAAGAAGUUGGAAGACAAUGAUUUCACGGGGGCGGUGUUUGAGGGAAAGUUUUAUGGGCCCUUUGAUUUCAAGGCUCUAGAGACAAUGCCGACGAGGGCUGAGAUUUAUGCCAAGUUGUUGGGUUCGCUUCAAAGCCCUGCAUCGGCAUUGGUUGGUACGCUCCAGGCGCCGGCGAGGGAUUUGGUGAUGACUUUAAAAGCAUAUGUUCAGAAGUUGGAAGAGGAUGGUGGGCAAUAGAAGCAUCAGGCGCUUUUUAUGGAGCUUCUGUUUGGUUCGCGCGACGUGGAUCAUGUUUGUUUCGAGAGAUAUGAUGUGAUGAGAUGGGAUUAGUGUUCUCAAAAUAAGGGACGCGGGGUCUCACCAAAUAGGUGUGACCCUAGUGAGAAACGAAAGUUGCGUGACGAGUGUGAGAAAAUUUUGUAGAGGGUGGACUAUUCUCAUCUCCCACCUCUGCAACGGUCCGAACUCCAACCACCCUAUCUUUCAUCUCUGGCGAGGUUUACGGCCUCCGGUGCUUAGCGGACAAGGAGCACGGGUUCAUCUUUGGAGACCGGAGUUCUCAUCCUCAUCUUCUACGAAGAUCUGCCAGCUCUCAUCAACCAAACGUUGGAAGCAGAUUCUGUAGGAUAGAUGGAAUGAAGGAAUAUAAUUGGGACAAAGCUUAGAUGAUGACGAUGAUGAUGAUGAUGAAUGAAUGAAGAGGCUAAUUGGUUCUGUUGAGGAUUAUGUUCAAAGCAUUAGAUUGGGACUAAGAACUAGACUCCCAUUGAUGAAUAGCAUUGCAAACAUCUUAUGGAUAUUAUAAAUUGGAACCUUUUUUCCAUAUGCCAGACGCAAAGUACUGCAGUUAUCAAGGACAUGCAUGAUAAGGAAGAAUUCUUGAAUGCAAAACAGCACUACUUUGAGAUGUCUUUCUGUA